rnacentral:rRNA from 1 species
GACGAACGCUGGCGGCGUGCUUAACACAUGCAAGUCGAGCGGAAAGGCCCUUCGGGGUACUCGAGCGGCGAACGGGUGAGUAACACGUGAGUAACCUGCCCCAGACUUUGGGAUAACCCUCGGAAACGGGGGCUAAUACCGGAUACGACACAGCUUCGCAUGGGGUCUGUGUGGAAAGUUUUUCGGUUUGGGAUGGGCUCGCGGCCUAUCAGCUUGUUGGUGGGGUGAUGGCCUACCAAGGCGACGACGGGUAGCCGGCCUGAGAGGGCGACCGGCCACACUGGGACUGAGACACGGCCCAGACUCCUACGGGAGGCAGCAGUGGGGAAUAUUGCACAAUGGGCGGAAGCCUGAUGCAGCGACGCCGCGUGAGGGAUGACGGCCUUCGGGUUGUAAACCUCUUUCAGCAGGGACGAAGCGUAAGUGACGGUACCUGCAGAGGAAGCGCCGGCCAACUACGUG